AACGAACGCUGGCGGCAGGCUUAACACAUGCAAGUCGAACGGUUGUAGCAAUACAGCAGUGGCGCACGGGUGAGUAACGCGUGGAUAUCUGCCUUUUGGUUCGGAAUAACUCCGGGAAACUGGAGCUAAUACCGGAUGGUUCCUACGGGAUAAAGAUUUAUCGCCAAAAGAUGAGUCCGCGUACGAUUAGCUAGUUGGUGAGGUAAUGGCUCACCAAGGCGACGAUCGUUAGCUGGUCUGAGAGGACGAUCAGCCACACUGGGACUGAGACACGGCCCAGGACUCCUACGGGAGGCAGCAGUGGGGAAUAUUGGACAAUGGGGGCAACCCGUGAUCCAGCCAUGCCGCGUGAGUGAUGAAGGCCUUCGGUGUAAG
rnacentral:rRNA from 1 species